CCUUUGGAGAAGAGACAGAAAGCUAUUGCAUCAUCGAGACACUUAGUAGAAUAAAUGUGUCAAUAGUCUGAGUAAGUCUGUGGGUCCCCACUUCAGAUAAGUACAGAUGUGAUGUCAAGAAGAAUAAUUGUCAGACAGAAAAGUGUGUCCAUUGCAUAGUUUAUCAUAUAAAACACGCACACCCCUCUCUCUCCCUCUCUCCUUCCAGGUCAGACUAAGGUCAGGGUCAGACCAGAGGUGGCAGCAGUCUGACCUCAUAGAGAGCCAAACAGAUCCUCAGUCCCUGUCUCCCAUGAUGCCCUUUCUAAUCCACCACUCUUUGGCCAAUGACCGUAUUAAGAAGACACUUGAUCUUCCCAUUAUCAACAUUUAAAUCCCUCGUCCAACUCAUGCCAAAUCACAAAUACUGUUAUUAUUCCAAAGACUUGCUCUCUGAGAUUCCACAGUGUGCAGAUAGUGACAAUGGAUAGGACACAUAUGACAUAACAGGUUUCAGCAACUCUCUGUCCUAUACCUUGCUGUUGCAGGGAGAGGACUGGCUGACACUGAUGCCUCCCCUCAGAAGACACCAGACCAGAUGAGAAGUUCACCCACACACUGUGAAUUGGAAAAUGUUCCAAAGGUCACAAGCAGAGAGACAGGCAGUUGUUCCAUCCAGAGAACUAAC
rnacentral:lncRNA from 1 species